rnacentral:rRNA from 1 species
GUGAGGAAUAUUGGACAAUGGAUGGAAAUCUGAUCCAGCCAUGCCGCGUGCAGGAAGACGGCCCUAUGGGUUGUAAACUGCUUUUAUACGGGAGCAAUAAGGUCUAUGCAUAGAUUGAUGAGAGUACCGUAUGAAUAAGCAUCGGCUAACUCCGUGCCAGCAGCCGCGGUAAUACGGAGGAUGCGAGCGUUAUCCGGAUUUAUUGGGUUUAAAGGGUGCGUAGGCGGCUUUGUAAGUCAGCGGUGAAAUUUUGCAGCUUAACUGUAAAAGCGCCGUUGAUACUGUGAAGCUAGGAUUUGGUUGCUGUGGGCGGAAUGUGUAGUGUAGCGGUGAAAUGCAUAGAGAUCACACAGAAUAUCGAUUGCGAAGGCAGCUCACAAAGCCAAUAUUGACGCUGAGGCACGAAAGUGUGGGGAUCAAACAGGAUUAGAAACCCGAGUAGUCC